rnacentral:lncRNA from 1 species
UUUUGGGGUGGUUUCAGGGUUUUUUGGGGUUUUUUUUUUAAUUUUCUCCCCAUGUUUUUUAAACAUUUUUUCGCCAUAUUUUGGGGUUCUUUGGCUGUAUUUUGGGCCAUUUUUGAGAGUGUUUCUGGGGUGGUAUUGAGAUAUUUUUUGGUGUUUCUGAAGGUUUUUUUCCCAGUUUUUUUAAGGCUUUUCACUGUAUUUUGGGGUAUUUUUGGGGAUAUUUUUGAGCAGUUUUUGGGCUGGUUUUGGGCUGGUUUUGGGGUAUAUUUUGCCAUAUUUUGGGCAGUUUUUGGGGUAUUUUUGGCCAUAUUUUGGGCAGUUUUUGGGCAGUUUUUGUGGGUAUUUUUGGGGUAUUUCUGGGCAGUUUUCGGGGUGUUUCCGGGCUGUUUUUGGGGUAUUUUUGGGCAGUUUUUGGGGUAUAUUUUGCCGUAUAUUGGGGUAUUUUUGGGCAGUUUUUGUGGGUAUUUUUGGGCAGUUUUUGGGGUAUUUUUUGGGGUAUUUUGGGGGCGAUUUCGGGCUGUUUUUGGGGUAUUUUUUGGGGUAUUUUCAGGGCGUUUCCGGGCUGUUUUUGGGCUGUUUUGGGGGUAUUUUUGUGGGUAUUUUUGGGCAGUUUUUGGGUUGUUUUUGUGGUAUUUUUGGGCAGUUUUUGGGGUAUAUUUUGCCGUAUUUUGGGGUAUUUUUGGGCAGUUUUUGUGGGUAUUUUUGGGCAGUUUCUGGGCUGUUUUUGGGGUAUUUUUGGGGUGUUUUCGGGGCGUUUCCGGGCUGUUUUUGGGGUGUUUUUGGCCGUAUUUUGGGGUAUUUUUGUGGGUAUUUUUGGGGUAUUUUCAGGGCGUUUCCAGGCUGUUUUUGGGCUGUUUUUGGGCGGUUUUGGGGCGCUGUCAGCGCAGGUCCUGCUCCUCGCCCGGGAUGCUCCUCUUGAUGCGCAGCAGCAGCGCCGUCAGCCACGGCUCCAGGCGCGAGACGGCGUCGAAAUCCUUCACCUGCGGGGGGAAAAACGGGAUUUUGGGGAAAAAAAACACGGAU